UGGACUUCUAGUACUUCUCCUAGUACUUCUAUUUACACACCGUAUCUAGGCGCAGAUCCCUCACUCUCACACAGUCAGUGGGUCUGCUUCUCUCUGAUGACUUGUGAGGACCCUCUCAUCCAGGGCCUGGCCCCCUGAGGCCCUCCUUUGUAUGGCCAGUUAGACCCUUUCCCCAGAUUUCUGUUGAGGGGCUCAUCUUUUUCUUCUUUGCUAAGAAAACUCUGACACUGUCUCCCCCUCAGCGCUGGGGACGGACCAGGGCCUCCCACAUCUGGGACUGGAACUCUGCCUGCUGCACCCCAGCCCUCGAGGACCAACUCCCCGUCCUGUGCCCGAGCGAAGCAUGGAAAAAGAUGAAUCGCCACACACAUGGAAAAAGACGAAUUGCACAUAUUUACGAGGAGAGCCUAGGAUUGUCUUGCUUCUGAUUCUUUGUAAGUUAUGUAACAAAUUGUUAUAAACCGUGGACAUCCCGCUGGGCUGAAGAUGUAAUUCUUCCCAUCUGACUUAUGUUUUUCUUCUUUGGAUGGUACUGGAGAUGGAAACCAGGGCCUUGUGCAUGGUGGGCAAGUGCUCUACCGCUGAGCCAUAUCCCAGUCCUUUUAAUUUUAUUUUAAGACAAGGUCUUGAUAAAUUGCAGAGGCUGACUGGAACUUUCAAUCCUCCUGCCUCAGCUUCCCAAGUGGCUGAGAUUACAGGAGUGGGCCACGGUGGUACCCAGUGAGAUUUCAUUCUUUUCGUGGCUGUGUGGAUGUACCACAUUUAAUCCCUUCAUCCACGGAUGAACACCUGGGGUUGACUGCAUACCCUGGCUACUUGUGAACAGUGCAGCAAUAAACACAGCAUAAAGUA